rnacentral:rRNA from 1 species
UACGUAGGGGGCAAGCGUUGUCCGGAAUCAUUGGGCGUAAAGCGCGUGUAGGCGGCUCGAUAAGUCUGCUGUGAAAGUCCAGGGCUCAACCCUGGGAUGCCGGUGGAUACUGUCGAGCUCGAGUCCGGAAGAGGCGAGUGGAAUUCCUGGUGUAGCGGUGAAAUGCGCAGAUAUCAGGAGGAACACCGAUGGCGAAGGCAGCUCGCUGGGACGUGACUGACGCUGAGACGCGGAAAGCG